AGCCACCACUCCAGGUCUCCAGGCACCUCCAAAGAACGGGCACCCACUGCUAAAGCCACACCAACCAGCUGCCUUUGGAGAGGAGGAAAGGAGGGAGGCCAACGGGACAAGCUGAUGGUGACAAAAAUAAAAAUCAGAUUGCACAACACUCCCAGAUAGCCAAAUCCGUGGGUUCCUCUACAGAGGAGAGGCCCAGGGCACUCUUCCUGCCACCCCCACCUGAGCCAAAGGACACAUCAUCGUGGGCUAUUUGAACAGGGCAGAAAAACCAGCCAGAAGGCCUGGAGGGAAACCCCUCUAGCAUGAAGUAUCUUUGAACUUAGUCAAAGAGAGGAGUGAACGGAAACACCAUACUGGGGAUCCGAUCAUUUUUUUCUAUCUCAAAAAAUAAGGACUCGCGGCUACCCGCCACCCACCAUCUGAGAGUCAUGCCUCUUAACAAAGCUUCAAGAUGAUGGGUGGCAAGUCUCCAACAAGGACAAGCCCUUCAGACUCACUGGAGACCUUACUGCUUGUAUGGCAUCUCCUACUCACGAGACAGUGCAGAGGUGGGGGGGGGGUGUAGCCUGAGGUCAUCCAGCCCCACCCCUUCUAUCACUGAGCACUUGAUGGGACCUACCCAAAGUCACUAAGCAAAAGGUACAAGGGCAGAGACAAAUUAGAUCAUAUCUGAAGUCUCACGCCAGAGACUGUCAGGGUCAAAACUGGGAAUAAAGCCAGGACAAGACAAGCUCAGCAUCCUGUGGCUCAGGCUAGUGCAGGUCCAGCCCGUCCAGCAGCCUGGUGCUUACUCUCCACCAGAGGAACCAAGGCCAGAGACCUUUGUCCAAGCCCCUUGCUGGCCUGGAAAGGAAGGAGUCAUCCCUUUCCACCUUCCCUUCCGUCACCAGCUCCCAGCCCUCCCAGUUCCCCAGCUACAUUCAGACCAUAGCUAGAAAUCUCUUUAACAUUAAGUAGAGGUGGCACAUUGUUUUCACCCAGCCCUUUCUUUCCCCCUCAGAGUUCAAAAAGAGGGAAUGUGAGCCGAAGGUUAUUGCAUAUGAAAUACGUCAUUCUUAAAGCUGCAAGGCCUUAGCCUCCAGUGUCUGAACCAGUCAUCCUAGGUGAACAAAAAUGAAAAGACAUAGCAAGCUUUUGCCAGAAGAUGCCAGAAGCAGAGGGGCAAGUAUGGGAGUAUGGUGAGGGAAGUCUGCCUUUAAUCAGCUUGCCUUUCUCUGUGUGUGUGUGUGUGUGUGUGUUUUUGGUUUCUUGCAUUCUCAGAUAUAUUAAGAUAUAUUUCUUAAUUUCUCUGUCCCAUUACAGAUGAGGCAAGAGAUGUAAAAAAGGUGUCACCCUGAAGAGGAAGUGGCAGAUCAGCCUGCUCGAUAUGGUUGGCUUCCUCUGCUCACUGAUAGCCACACAUGGCUGCCAGCAUCCAGUCCUGAGGCCUUCUGACUUUUAGCACUCACCUCCUUUAGACUGUCUCGAGUCUUCAAAUUCUCAGGGAAAUAAUCGUGACUGGCCCAGCCUGAGUCAAAUGACUCCUUGCCUGUCACUACCCACUGCUAACAGCGGAGACAAGGUGAAACAUCUGGUACAACAGGCCAGGGGAAGGGAGAGGCGAUGAUUCCAGAAGGAGGAUGUCUAAUAAGGUCCGUGCUUAACCUGUGGAAAUGGGGAAGGGGUGUUCUGGACCUGAGCUCCUCAACUGGGGAUGCCCAUCAAAACCACCCAGGAAGCCACACCUAAUAAUGAAUCAGGCCCUCCUAAGUGGUGCCCAGGCAGGUGCAUUUCGAGAAAGCACCAUGGGGUGAUUCUGCUCACAAAUUGCGGUUCUAGGUAGGAGAAAUGAAGACACAAACAGAUUUAUCAAAUAUUGGAAGAUGCACUUGUUCACUGAAUGAGUAUUUACUGAGUGCCUACCAAGUACAUGGCAUUGUGUUAGGUGCCAGAAAGACAAGGUCCUUGUCCCUAAGAAGCAUACAUAUUAGUGGAUAAGAGUAUAAGCACUAGAUCACAAAACUCCUCAAUACCAGAAGUAGUUUAUAUGCACUAAGUUCAGGGGGCAAAGGUGGCUCACUGGAUAUUUUUGAGCCCAAAAGAUGCACUAUCAGAGAUACAAUUAAAAAGAUGAAAGGGAUGGUGGAUCCAACAUGAAUUUUGGGAGAGGAAGGCAGAAAAUGGAAGACCAAAAGCCAGCACAACUCAGAAAUCAUUGCAAUAAUCUAUACAAAAGGGAAUAAAGACAUUUUUAAAAAACGUGUUUUAAAAAAUAUGGGGAAAAUGUUAAAAUAGUGGUUCCCUCUGAGUGUUAGCGUUAUUGAGUACUUUUUUGCCACUUCCAUACUUGUCUGUAUCUUCCAAAUGUUCUACAAUAAACAUCCAUUACAUUUUCAA